UACGAAAGGUGCAAGCGUUACUCGGAAUCACUGGGCGUAAAGCGCACGUAGGCGGACUCGUAGGUCAAUUGUGAAAUACCUGGGCUCAACCUGGGAACUGCAGUUGAAACCAUUUGUCUUGAAUACCUGAGAGGGUGGGGGAAUACCUGGUGGAGAAGUGAAAUUCGUAGAGAUCAGGUGGAACACCGGAGGCGAAGGCGCCUGCCUGGCAGUGUAUUGACGCUGAGGUGCGAAAGUGCGGGGAGCAAACAGG
rnacentral:rRNA from 1 species